rnacentral:rRNA from 1 species
CCUGUGAAGGUGGCCUGUGAGGGUUGCUGGAGGUAUCAGAAGUGCGAAUGCUGACAUAAGUAACGAUAAAGCGGGUGAAAAGCCCGCUCGCCGGAAGACCAAGGGUUCCUGUCCAACGUUAAUCGGGGCAGGGUGAGUCGACCCCUAAGGCGAGGCCGAAAGGCGUAGUCGAUGGGAAACGGGUUAAUAUUCCCGUACUUGGUGUUACUGCGAAGGGGGGACGGAGAAGGCUAUGUUGGCCGGGCGACGGUUGUCCCGGUUUAAGCGUGUAGGUGUGUGUUCCAGGUAAAUCCGGUUCACUUUAACACUGAGGCGUGAUGACGAGGCACUACGGUGCUGAAGCAACAAAUGCCCUGCUUCCAGGAAAAGCCUCUAAGCAUCAGGUAACAUCAAAUCGUACCCCAAACCGACACAGGUGGUCAGGUAGAGAAUACCAAGGCGCUUGAGAGAACUCGGGUGAAGGAACUAGGCAAAAUGGUGCCGUAACUUCGGGAGAAGGCACGCUGACACGUAGGUGAAGUGAUUUACUCAUGGAGCUGAAGUCAGUCGAAGAUACCAGCUGGCUGCAACUGUUUAUUAAAAACACAGCACUGUGCAAACACGAAAGUGGACGUAUACGGUGUGACGCCUGCCCGGUGCCGGAAGGUUAAUUGAUGGGGUCAGCGCAAGCGAAGCUCCUGAUCGAAGCCCCGGUAAACGGCGGCCGUAACUAUAACGGUCCUAAGGUAGCGAAAUUCCUUGUCGGGUAAGUUCCGACCUGCACGAAUGGCGUAAUGAUGGCCAGGCUGUCUCCACCCGAGACUCAGUGAAAUUGAACUCGCUGUGAAGAUGCAGUGUACCCGCGGCAAGACGGAAAGACCCCGUGAACCUUUACUAUAGCUUGACACUGAACAUUGAGCCUUGAUGUGUAGGAUAGGUGGGAGGCUUUGAAGUGUGGACGCCAGUCUGCAUGGAGCCGGCCUUGAAAUACCACCCUUUAAUGUUUGAUGUUCUAACGUGGACCCGUGAUCCGGGUUGCGGACAGUGUCUGGUGGGUAGUUUGACUGGGGCGGUCUCCUCCUAAAGAGUAACGGAGGAGCACGAAGGUUGGCUAAUCCUGGUCGGACAUCAGGAGGUUAGUGCAAUGGCAUAAGCCAGCUUGACUGCGAGCGUGACGGCGCGAGCAGGUGCGAAAGCAGGUCAUAGUGAUCCGGUGGUUCUGAAUGGAAGGGCCAUCGCUCAACGGAUAAAAGGUACUCCGGGGAUAACAGGCUGAUACCGCCCAAGAGUUCAUAUCGACGGCGGUGUUUGGCACCUCGAUGUCGGCUCAUCACAUCCUGGGGCUGAAGUAGGUCCCAAGGGUAUGGCUGUUCGCCAUUUAAAGUGGUACGCGAGCUGGGUUUAGAACGUCGUGAGACAGUUCGGUCCCUAUCUGCCGUGGGCGCUGGAGAACUGAGGGGGGCUGCUCCUAGUACGAGAGGACCGGAGUGGACGCAUCACUGGUGUUCGGGUUGUCAUGCCAAUGGCACUGCCCGGUAGCUAAAUGCGGAAGAGAUAAGUGCUGAAAGCAUCUAAGCACGAAACUUGCCCCGAGAUGAGUUCUCCCUGAGACUUUAGGUCUCCUGAAGGAACGUUGAAGACGACGACGUUGAUAGGCCGGGUGUGUAAGCGCAGCGAUGCGUUGAGCUAACCGGUACUAAUGAACCGUGAGGCUUAACCUUACA